CCUACGGGUGGCAGCAGUGGGGAAUAUUGGGCAAUGGGCGCAAGCCUGACCCAGCAACGCCGCGUGAAGGAAGAAGGCUUUCGGGUUGUAAACUUCUUUUCUCAGGGACGAAGAAAGUGACGGUACCUGAGGAAUAAGCCACGGCUAACUACGGGCCAGCAGCCGCGGUAAUACGUAGGUGGCAAGCGUUAUCCGGCUUUACUGGGUGUAAAGGGCGUGUAGGCGGGACUGCAAGUCCAAUGGGAAAACCACGGGCUCAACCUGUGGCCUGCAUUUGAAACUGUAGUUCUUGAGUACUGGAGAGGCAGACGGAAUUACUAGUGUAGCGGUGAAAUGCGUAGAUAUUAGGAGGAACACCAGUGGCGAAGGCGGUCUGCUGGACAGCAACUGACGCUGAGGCGCGAAAGCGUGGGGAGCAAACAGGAUUAGAUACCCGGGUAGUC
rnacentral:rRNA from 1 species